GAUGGGUGGCUCAGUGGUUAGAGCCUAGGUCUCGUAACCGGAAGGUUCCUAGUUCGAACCUCGCCAGAUGCA
rnacentral:tRNA from 1 species